AGAAAUAUGUCUGAUAAAAGAGCUACUUUGAUAGAGUAAAACAUAGAGGUGAAAACCCUCUUAUUUCUA
rnacentral:tRNA from 1 species